AGUGUGUGUGUUAGUGGAAGCGUCUGGAAAGGCGCGCGAUACAGGGUGACAGCCCCGUACACAAAAAUGCACAUACUGUGAGCUCGAUGAGUAGGGCGGGACACGUGGUAUCCUGUCUGAAUAUGGGGGGACCAUCCUCCAAGGCUAAAUACUCCUGACUGACCGAUAGUGAACCAGUACCGUGAGGGAAAGGCGAAAAGAACCCCGGCGAGGGGAGUGAAAAAGAACCUGAAACCGUGUACGUACAAGCAGUGGGAGCCUCUUAAUGGGGUGACUGCGUACCUUUUGUAUAAUGGGUCAGCGACUUAUAUUCUGUAGCAAGGUUAACCGAAUAGGGGAGCCGAAGGGAAACCGAGUCUUAACUGGGCGUUAAGUUGCAGGGUAUAGACCCGAAACCCGGUGAUCUAGCCAUGGGCAGGUUGAAGGUUGGGUAACACUAACUGGAGGACCGAACCGACUAAUGUUGAAAAAUUAGCGGAUGACUUGUGGCUGGGGGUGAAAGGCCAAUCAAACCGGGAGAUAGCUGGUUCUCCCCGAAAGCUAUUUAGGUAGCGCCUCGUGAAUUCAUCUCCGGGGGUAGAGCACUGUUUCGGCAAGGGGGUCAUCCCGACUUACCAACCCGAUGCAAACUGCGAAUACCGGAGAAUGUUAUCACGGGAGACACACGGCGGGUGCUAACGUCCGUCGUGAAGAGGGAAACAACCCAGACCGCCAGCUAAGGUCCCAAAGUCAUG
rnacentral:rRNA from 1 species